UCCGGGUCUUGAAGUUGAAAAUACCCAGAGCGCUUUCUUCCUAUGUGCAUGCCUUCUGCUGUUAACUGCUAACUCAGGCCUUUCUUCUUGUGCGAAACCAUAGCCGGCUUCACUUUUCUCACUUCAAUCCAACACUCUUAGUGAAAACCCAAUUCCCAAAACUAUCUGAGCACACCAAAGCUCUAUCAGAAAGGAAUUGGGGUGACCAUUGUUUGUCCUGGUCCAAUAGAAACAUCAAAUGGUACAGGUGCAGCAAGCUCAGAGAAUAAAGCUUCUUCUGAGAAGCGUGUGUCAUCAGAAAGGUGUGCAGAGUUGACAAUAAUUGCUGCCACCCAUGGUCUAAAGGAAGUUUGGAUAUCAUACCAGGUAUUGUUAUCUGUAU